rnacentral:rRNA from 1 species
GGUUUUUUCAUGGAGAGUUUGAUCCUGGCUCAGGACGAACGCUGGCGGCGUGCUUAACACAUGCAAGUCGAACGGAAAGGCCCAGCUUGCUGGGUACUCGAGUGGCGAACGGGUGAGUAACACGUGGGUGAUCUGCCCUGCACUCUGGGAUAAGCCUGGGAAACUGGGUCUAAUACCGGAUAUGACCAAUUGUCGCAUGGUGGUUGGUGGAAAGCUUUUGCGGUGUGGGAUGGGCCCGCGGCCUAUCAGCUUGUUGGUGGGGUAAUGGCCUACCAAGGCGACGACGGGUAGCCGACCUGAGAGGGUGAUCGGCCACACUGGGACUGAGACACGGCCCAGACUCCUACGGGAGGCAGCAGUGGGGAAUAUUGCACAAUGGGCGCAAGCCUGAUGCAGCGACGCCGCGUGAGGGAUGACGGCCUUCGGGUUGUAAACCUCUUUCACCAGGGACGAAGCGAAAGUGACGGUACCUGGAGAAGAAGCACCGGCCAACUACGUGCCRGCAGCCGCGGUAAUACGUAGGGUGCGAGCGUUGUCCGGAAUUACUGGGCGUAAAGAGCUCGUAGGCGGUUUGUCGCGUCGUCUGUGAAAUUCUGCAACUCAAUUGCAGGCGUGCAGGCGAUACGGGCAGACUUGAGUACUACAGGGGAGACUGGAAUUCCUGGUGUAGCGGUGAAAUGCGCAGAUAUCAGGAGGAACACCGGUGGCGAAGGCGGGUCUCUGGGUAGUAACUGACGCUGAGGAGCGAAAGCGUGGG